UUAAUUGAAACCAAAAAGAGGUUUAUUACUGUUAAUAAUAAAAUUGAGUAUAACUCCAAUUAAA
rnacentral:tRNA from 1 species